rnacentral:rRNA from 1 species
UACGAAGGGGGCUAGCGUUGCUCGGAAUCACUGGGCGUAAAGGGUGCGUAGGCGGGUCUUUUAAGUCAGGGGUGAAAUCCUGGAGCUCAACUCCAGAACUGCCUUUGAUACUGAGGAUCUUGAGUUCGGGAGAGGUGAGUGGAACUGGCGAGUGUAGAGGUGAAAUUCGUAGAUAUUCGCAAGAACACCAGUGGCGAAGGCGGCUCACUGGCCCGAUACUGACGCUGAGGCACGAAAGCGUGGGGAGCAACAGG